rnacentral:rRNA from 1 species
UACAGGGGGUGCAAACGUUGCUCGGAAUCAUUGGGCGUAAAGCGCACGUAGGCGGUUCGUUAUGUCGGAUGUGAAAGCCCUUGGCUUAACCGAGGAAGUGCAUCCGAAACUGGCGAGCUAGAGUACGAAAGAGGAUCGCGGAAUUCCCGGUGUAGAGGUGAAAUUCGUAGAUAUCGGGAGGAACACCGGUGGCGAAGGCGGCGAUCUGGGGUCGAUACUGACGCGUGAGGUGCGAAAGCGUGGGGAGCAACAGG